AUGUACCAUCACUCUGCAGCUUAUUUUCCUUUGCCCUCCAUUUUCUACACAUCAGAUCUAUAUUUACUCUUACCAUCGGGUUGGAUAACACCGAUGGUCCUGAAGAAGUUUAGCUCUGCAUUGCUCUUGGUUGUACCUUUUGCCUGUAUCGUUGUACUUACAUUUAUAGCUACUUGGUUAUGUAGCACCAAUCUUCAUCUUAUCUUAAAUAUUCUCCAUUUUUUUCUUAUAUUAUCACAUCUAUAUUUACUCUUAACAGAAUGUAGAAUAAAGGCAAUGCUUAUGAAGAAGAUUCUGUGGUAA
rnacentral:rRNA from 1 species